GCGACCUGCCUUACUGGAGUUAGAAAGAUUUGAAAGAAGAGCAAUGGAGAGAAAAGCUGUUGAACUGGAGGAGGAGUUAAAGGUCCUUUCUGACUUGAAGGCGGAUAAUCAAAGACUCAAGGAUGAAAAUGCAGCUUUAAUACGAGUCAUCAGCAAGCUUUCGAAGUAAGGAGGCAGAAUGAGAACGGAUGAUAACAGCCAUAUCCAUUAUGAAUAUCUUUGCUCUGCCUUGGCCAACAUGGACUUGAAGGCCUGCUGGGCCAGAACACGGUCUUCCUGGUUGUAAAAGCUACUGCAUAAGACUGUUGGAAAUAGAAGUGAUCUACAGUUUGGGAUUGUGGUGCACACACUGGAUCCAUACUGUCAGACCCAGCAUCCCAAAACUGUGAACACAGA